UACGAAGGGGGCAAGCGUUGUUCGGAAUUACUGGGCGUAAAGCGUACGUAGGCGGAUUGUUAAGUCAGAGGUGAAAUCCCGGAGCUCAACUUCGGAACUGCCUUUGAUACUGGCAAUCUAGAGUCCGGAAGAGGUUAGUGGAAUUCCCAGUGUAGAGGUGAAAUUCGUAGAUAUUGGGAAGAACACCAGUGGCGAAGGCGGCUAACUGGUCCGGUACUGACGCUGAGGUGCGAAAGCGUGGGGAGCAAACAGG
rnacentral:rRNA from 1 species